ensembl:lncRNA
GAACCUAGAAUUAUUAGUUAUUAAGUCAAGGGCCAUUUGUUUAAUAUUUUGACUCAGAGACUGUGUGUGCUAACUCUGCUGGUCCUGUGGAGGCAGCAGCAUCUGUUGAAGAAAACACUACCAUGGAAUGGUGUUGAGGUCUGUGCUGCUCCAAGGUUUUCCCUGAGGCCAUGAUUUAUGGAGAGAAAAAAAAAGUAGUUCCAGAAGCAUGUUUGGCAGAGUCAUUAACAGAGCAGGAAAGAGGUAAUUUUGUGAGCAGAUGGUGGAGGUUUUUUGAAAACAGGGCUGUAAAUGCCAUUGAGUUCUGAAAUGUCAUGGAGGGGCUGUUCUUGUUGAACAGUGGAAGAGCGUUGAGAGAAUCACUGACAGUUGAAGGCCGAGUUUCUGGAGUCUCAGAAGGGAACCUAGAAGUAUUAGUUAUUAAGUCAAGGGCCAUUUGUUUAAUAUUUUGACUCAGAGACUGUGUGUGCUAACUCUGCUGGUCCUGUGGAGGCAGCAGCAUCUGUUGAAGAAAACACUACCAUGGAAUGGUGUUGAGGUCUGUGCUGCUCCAAGGUUUUCCCUGAGGCCAUGAUUUAUGGAGAGAAAAAAAAAGUAGUUCCAGAAGCAUGUUUGGCAGAGUCAUUAACAGAGCAGGAAAGAGAAAUGCAGGAAUGGAAAUGGAGAGGAGUCUGAGGAAAAGAAGGUCAAGCAACAGGCCCAAAGUGAGAUCCAGCUCAAGGGGAGGCCCCAAGACCUGAAACCAUUACUGAAAUUAUGGAGCAUUCACAAAAAGGAUGUAUCAUGGCUGCUCUUCAAAAGACCCAAGAGGCAGCUGAAAGAGUCAGAUGCAGUUAUGUGCACCCAACCAGUGAACAGAAGCUGCUGACUCCUCUGGUUGAAUUGGAGAAAAGCUAGAGGAAGCGAAGGAGAUUCCAUCCUUUAACAUCAAGACAGGAGCAUGGCAGCAUCCAGGCAGACAUGGUGCAGGAGGAGCUGAGAGUUCUACAUCUUCAUAUGAAGGCUGCUAAUUGAAGGCUGAAUUCCAUGCAGCCUGUACCAACAGUGACACACCUACUCCAACAAGGCUAAACUAACUCCAAGAGUGCCAUACCUUCUAAGAAUGCUACAUCCUGGACUGAAUAUAUAGAUAAGAUCUAUGAAGCUAAGAAAUGCAUGCUGACAGGAAUCAGAUAAAGAUGUCUCCUGAGAGACACAGUUAGAGCAUGUGAAAUAGAGAGGUGAAUGCUAGCAGCAAACCACUAAACUGAGAACGGGACUCCUGUUGGAGGAAUUAGAGAAAGGAUUGAAAGAGCUGAAGGGGCUUACAACCCCGUAAGAGCAGCAUUCCAACCAACCAGAGCUUGCAGGGACGAAACCACGACCCAAAUACUACACAUGGAUGGACCCAUGGCUCCAACUCAUAGGGAGCAGUGGAUGGCCUUGUUGGGCAGCAAUGGAAGGAGAAGCCCUUUGUCAAUAUAAGUAAAAUUUUUAAGAGAUAAGUGACAUCAUGAACAGCAGAGGACAAGGGUAGAAAUGACAAUUUAUGGAGUCCGGUCUUCGCAUGCUGUGAAAUUGUAAAGGAAAGGCAGCAGAGUAUUGUGAGAAAAACAGUCCAAGGAGAGUAAUGGACACAGAUGUGUAACCCUGUAGCUAUCUGCCCAGGGUUUCAACAGAGGUCAAUGUGUUGCAUUGUUGAGAUGGCAGCUCUGUCCCCCUUUGCACAAAAUCGGAUACCACUUAGGCUCAUGUCACUCCUUCCUCAGGACUUAGCCCUUCCAUUAGGUUAGUUGUCAGUGUCCACAGACUGCACUAAGCCAACCUUAUCAAUCAGGCCACUGUUCAGUAUUCAUUUUAAUCUCUCAGAGACUCCUCAGUCCACUCCUUUGUAGCUUCCCAUCACACAUGUGCCUUCUUGCCUUUAGCUGUUUGUAUGUAGUGCUUCCAGGUUUCUGGUUUGUGUUGUCUUAACUGUUCCCCUCCAGCAUAGAGCCCAGAGUCUGACAAACACUGACCUCUAACUCCCUCCUUCAGUUAAAUCUGUUCCCAAUAUAUACUACAUGCACUUAAUAUGUGAAGGGAAUGUACAUUGCCUGUCCCUCUGAUUUGUGAGGGUAUAUCAUAAAGUUGCUAAAUAGUACACCUUGAUGUACUGUAUUGCUUGUCCUAGGGACUUAGCAUAUGAGUUUUGAAUUAAACUGCUUGCCUAUUAAUUGUAAGAGUUUCCCAUUAAAAUAUUCGAAGUGAAAGUCAUGCAUUUUAAAAUUUUUAUUACAUCAGUACCAUUUUUAGUGCAUUUUUAAGUGAAAUCCAUCUUUAACCCUACUCUGAAAUACUGCUCAUAUUACCAAGUCAUGUGUUAUUAGUUGGCAAAGAGAAAAGAUAUUUGAAUGUGGCUUCUCUGAACUUUCUUUCUUUCUUUCUUUCUUUCUUUCUUUCUUUCUUUCUUUCUUUCUUUCUUCCUUCCUUCCUUCCUUCCUUCCUUCCUUCCUUCUUUCUUUCUUUCUUUCUUUCUUUCUUUCUUUCUUUCUUUCUUUCUUUCUUCCUUUUCCUUUGUAAAACUUUUAUCCUGCUCCCUCCAGAAGUGGCCAUUAAUGGGGGCUUUAUGAGCCACUCCAAAUACCUGAUAGAAAGUCUAUGCCCCAUUCUUGUGUAGGGUGUUUUCAGGAAAACACCUGUACUGGAUUCAUGACUGUCAUCACUUUGUCAUAUCCAGAAGACCUAGUUUCACAUCACGUCUCCCCAAAUUUUGUUCUUAUAUCAUUUCUGACUCCCUCUUCAACAACAGUACCUGAGCCUUGGAGGAUGUUGUGCUGGUUGAAUUUAAUGAACUUUCCAUAAAUCUACAUAUAAUCUGGGAAGACUGAACCAGAGUAGAGGUAUCUUCUCUAUCACAUUGUCUUGAAGGAAGUCUGUGGGUCAUUUUCUUGUGAUUAAUGUAGAAUGUCCUCUGUAAUUAUAGGUGGUGGUUCUGGAUGUUGGUACUCCAGGGUGGAUCGUCCUCAAUUGUAUAAGAAAACAGGUUCAGCAAACCAUGGGAGCAAGCACUGCCCCUCCCCAUCUCUCUGUCUCUGUCUCUGUCUCUCUCUGAGUGUGUGUGUGUGUGUGUGUGUGUGUGUGUGUGUG